GUGUCCUACAAUUUCAGACCAUAUCAGUGAAUGAAGUCUGUCAAUUUGGCAUUAUAUGCAUUCUUUCAUCAUUCACUGGAGUUUUUUUGUAAACGAACCUUCUUAGGGGCAUUAUUCUCCAACUUCAGAUUACCAGUUCCACUAGUUUUCCCUUCCUGGAAUAGACUUAAUCCAUGGGACAAACUGUCCAAAUCCAAUGCCAAUAUUAAAAACCACUUUUCAUAAUCAAUUGCCCAAAAAACAUUCUGCUUGGCUUUCCAGCUGACAAGGUUGGCCUCAUCUUCAGGCGGUUUGAUCUCAAUGGUGUAAGGAAAUAACACAGUAAGCUUCUCAUCAACUUCUCUGCAAUCAUCUUCUGAAUCUAAUAUCUUGGAACCAAGUAUCAACACUGACCCUGAAAUUUUCUUUAGCAUUCUUUGGAACAAACUGUAUAAUGCGUGUGAGUUGAGAAAAAGAUUCUCAGCAUUCCUGAUAUAUAGGAUGAUAGGACUGGUUUCUGAGACAGAAACCAAGACCUGCAAUUAUUAUUAAAUCCUGCUUGUUAGAACUUUUUUUUUUUUCUCGGAGAGUGAGAAAUAGUUAUCCUUAGACACAUUAAGGGUACAAGAUUGCUACUUUCUUGCAGCAUUUCUACUUAAAAUAGCAAACUUUCUAAGAUGAAAUCACCUUAUAGAGUGAAUGCAUAAACAGUUUUUCAUCAAA